CGGACGGGUGAGUAAUGUCUGGGAAACUGCCCGAUGGAGGGGGGUAACUACUGGAAACGGUAGCUAAUACCGCAUAACGUUGCAAGACCAAAGAGGGGGACCUUAGGGCCUCUUGCCAUCGGAUGUGCCCAGAUGGGAUUAGCUAGUAGGUGGGGUAACGGCUCACCUAGGCGACGAUCCCUAGCUGGUCUGAGAGGAUGACCAGCCACACUGGAACUGAGACACGGUCCAG
rnacentral:rRNA from 1 species